UGCUUUGACAAUUUAGUUUAGUUUUUUUUAUUAACUCUGAUUGUUUCCAGCAUCGACACAUGAAUUUUGAACUUGUUCUUGCAUAAUUUAUCAUGGGAGAAAAUGAAUUGGUGGUGUAGGUUUGGGAAACAGUGGAUCAAGACCCUAUGGAAAUUUGGGUUUUAUUCUGUGUUUAUUAUUUUCUUUGCUGCUAUUAUUCACGGAUAAACUUGUGGACUGGGAAUGCUUACCUCUUUAUGACAGGCACUGUAAAUGUCUGUGUCAGCCAUUUAAUUUUCUCUUUCUAGUCCGCACUCAGACAUUUCUUUCAGCAACCAGUCAUUUAAUCGGAAAGAGAGUUUUGUUUCCUUUCAUGUUCUUUGUUGUCAAAACAACCUUUGUUUCUUUCUUAUCAGCUAUAGUAUUUAAUUCACUGCGAUCUCAGGAUGUGUUAUUUGGAAGUGAUGUGGUUAUUCAUUCGAGGAUUGAUGUGUUAUUUGGAAGUGAGGUGGUUAUUCAUUCGAGGAUUGAGUUUCAUUCCCUUUGACUUGCAUUUUUUUGUGUUCAUAGCUAUCAAACAACUUUCUUCCUUUGAAAUGUAUGGAGUCUAUUUUUUUAAGAUGAAAUCCCCUCUAAAUGUUAAUGUUUUAUUUUUUUUCUUUCUUUUUCAUCAUUUCCUAGUUAUUUGUGUUUCUCAUAGGCUUGGUCUCAUCCCUUCGACUUGCAUUUGUUUGUGUUCAUUGCUAUUAAACAACAUUUUUUUUAAAUGUAUGGAGUCUUUUUUGUUACGUCUAGAGAUGUUGAUUUGCUUGUUUUCAUUCCGUUUUAGGUGUUGAUUUGUUUGCGUUCAUUCCUUUUUAGGUGUUGAUUUGUUUGUGUUCAUUCCUUUUUAGCAUUUGGAGGCCUCAAGAAUGGUUGAGGAUUAAAAUCUGGAAGUGUUUAGAACGACCAAUAAUUCAGGAUAACCUAAUUUCAUUAGUUUCCUUUCCAUUUGAUUUCUUGAGAUUUGAUCACGAAGAAUAAGGAUUGAAUUGUCAUUUGUUUUUAUGAUGUCUUUCUUUGUUUUGAAUGUCUUAUUGUCUCUAUACUUCAACUCUAUGAGCCGUUGUAGCCUUCCUGAAUUCUUGGGGUGUACAGUACAGGACAAACAUGCAACAGAUGUUACGUAGGACAGAUGUGAGUAUCCUUAAAGCUCUAGGUUUUGGUAUCCACACAUAUUUUUGUCUUUAAUUGGGACUGGCUAUUUGAAUUUCUCUGGUUUUUGAAUUCCUUCAAUUCAUCUUAUGCUUUCUUAACUUCUUGGUCUUUAUUACCAAUAUCUAUUUUUAUUUAAAUAUAGUUCUUAAAUUUUUUAUGUCUAGGUGUUGAUUCGUUUGUGUUCAUUUCUUUUUAGCAUGUAAGACUGGUUAAGGAUUAAAAUCUGCUAGUGUACACGAAAAACAAGCCACGGAUGUGAGGUAGGAUAUCUAAAUACUGGAAGGAGAUGCUUGAUUCUGUAGGUUAUCCAUAAUCUUUGAUGACAGAUGCUUACUUGAGUUUGGAUGUAGUUAUUUAUUUGAUGAAAGAGAUCUAUCAUAUGUAACUUUGUGUUAGUUCCUUUUCAGCAGGGGAUUCUGGUUGAGGAUUAAAAAACAUAAAUUUGAAUAUUGAUUUUGUUUGAUUAUUGAAAUAUGACAAAUCUAGCUGUUUGAUCUUUGAAUAUGUUGAUUCUUUUUAGCAAAUCAUAGGUUAGUAAUAAUAAAAUGCUCAGGGAAGAUGUCUCCCCUUUACUUGAAACAUUGUAGAUAGAGCAUAUUUUUCCAGACUGAUAUGCGAGGUAGGGUGUGGAAACACUUCCCAGGGGAUUUGUGAAGCUUUAGGUUGUUACCUGUUAGAUAUUAUUAGAUAUUAUUAGAUAUUAUUAGAUAUUAUUAGAUAUAAUUAGAUAUUAUUUGAUAUUAUGAGAUAUUAUAGAUAUUGUUAGAUAUCUCAUAUUUAUGUAAUGGGCUUAGCCCAUAUGUUUCUUUUCCUAUAUAAACAUAACCCUAUGUGUUCAAUAUACACAAGGGAUUUACCCUAUUCUUUCUUUUCCUUUAAUAUUACCCUUACCAUUCUUGUGUCUUUAUUUGUGACUGACUAAACUUCUUGUUUGGAUUCUAAGUUUUGGUUGGAUUCAUUGCUAACAUUGUAGUUUGACUGGCAGUCUGGCAGUUCUUGUGGGUUUAGAGGUCGUGUAAUACUCUCUUUUUUAAGUUGUCCAUUUCUAAGUAAUUUAGGCUUCUCUUAGCUUUUACCAGUCCUGGAUUCAUAGUGAAAUUUGACCCUUUUACAUGGUGCAAUUGAAAUUAAGGAGAGAAUUAUUGAUCUUUAGUUUUCUAGUACUGAAUUAAUUUUGGAUUUGUUUUGGUGUAGCAAAUCUGAAAGGUCAUUUUCUUAGUUAUUACUUCAUUUACUAAAUAAUCAAGAGCAUUGGACAAUUUGAUUUUGUAGUGUUUUGUUUGCUGCAUUGACAAAUGAAUCUUGCAUUCUAUUGUUUUUAGGAGUUUUAGAUUACAUCCUGAAUAUGACAUGAUGAUCUCUUCUAUCUUCCAAAAUGAGAAUGAUCUGCAACAUUAGAGUUGUAUUUAGUUCUAUGUCCAAUGUGAGAAUGAGAAAAUUAAGAGCUCUAUUUAGUUUUAUCUCCAAUUAUCUCUAAUAUGAGAAUGAGAAACAACAGUAGUUGGAAUGUUUUCUUGCAAUCUUCCUGUGCUAUGAUUUAGUUCUCUCUCCAUAUAUGAGAAUAAGAAAAUGAGAAAGAGAAACAAGAUUAUUUGGAAUGUUUUGUAGUAAUCUUCUUGCACUAUGAUUCGGUUCUCUCCCAAUAUGCGAAUGAGAAACAACAAUAUUUGGAAAGUUUUGUCGUAAUCUUCUUGUGCUAUGAUUCGGUUCUGUCCCCAAUAUGCGAAUGAGAAGAUGAGAAACAACAGCUUAUGAGAGCUCCAUUUGGUUCUAUCUCCAAUAUGAGAAUGAGAAACAACAGUACAUGAGAGUUCUAUUUAGUUUUAUCUCUAAUACGAUAAAGAAGAGAAACAAAAGCAUUUGGAUUGUUCUCUUUGUAAUCUUCGUGUGCUAUGAGCAACGCCUCCCCUCGAGGCUAUGGUUACGGGUGAUGCCUCUCUAUUCCAACAUGAGAGCUCUAUAUAUUUUUUUGGGGUGGGGUCUCAAUUUAUGAUACCAUGUGGAAGCAGACACCAUAUUUUUGCCGUCUAUAUUUCUCAGCUCUUGCUGAUUUUGCCAUGCUGAACUUAGUUUUCUUGAAUUGCCAUUCUUCUUAAAUUUUUACAGUAAAGCAAUAGAUAUGUGGGGGCAGGUUUUGGAAACAUUGUAUGGAGAUCUGGUGAAACUUUAGAUUUUAUUAUCUUUGCAUAUUCAUCAUUUUCUUUGAUGGCUAAACUUGUGGAUUGGGAGUUCUUGUAAACAGGCACUAUGUGAGUUUGAGAGGCUUUGGCAAUUGUGUUGUUAGGCCUUCGAUCCUGGUGAUUUGAUAAUCUGUUGCAGUGAAGACUUUAUGGAUGUCUGUUACCCAAAUUACGGUACAUUAUUGGACUUACAUUUCCAUUUCACUAUUUUUUUUAUAUCCUUGAUUUGGUUGUGGUAUCUCUUAUUGGUUGAAUAGUGGGAAGGCACAUGUGAAUCUUAUGAUGUAUUGCCUUUAAUAGUUUUUGCUGUUGGAAAAAUAAUCUAGAAGUCCUUUCUUAGCAAAUUAUUCUCAUUAUUGUAGAAAUUCUAUAACAUUUAUUCAGGUUUUACUUUCUACAAUUAGUUUAUUUUUAUCCACUCCGAUAACUAAUUAAAUAUUUACUUUCUCUAGAAAGUAGACUAUGUGAUUGAUAUAUUUUAAUGUUAUUCAUAAAUUAGUUCUUUAUAUUAAUCAUUACAAAAAUGUUUGGUAUACACUCAUAUUUAUCAUAUUGCCUUCAAGUAGAAAGGUAUUUGUAUAGGGCAAUUGCUUCCUCCCCCAAUCAAUUUUGACUAGCAUUCAAUAGAAGUUUUAAAACUUCAUUAUGCCUUUUUCACGGCUUACGAAUGCCAAUAUCCAAAAGUGACAUAUUUGCCUAUGGAUAUUGCCAUUUGGAAGUGAUAGUUUUGCCUACGGAUAUUAACAUUCGAAAGUGUCAGUUUUGCCUACGGAUAUUGACAUUUGGAAGUGUCAGUUUUGCCUACGGACAUUGGCAUCUGGAACUGGCACUCUUUGAUUGCGUUCAUUUUUAUCCGAAAGGCACUAUCAUUUUUCUUAAUAUACAUAUCAGGAAGCCAAUCAUCCUUAACUUUUUUUUUUGGCAGUGUAAUGAUUUUGUUACUUUUAAUGGAUUAAAACCACUAAACCGAACCAAUUUAAAGAAUAAAAGUAAAAUCAACAUUAAAAUUUGUUACUUGCUUUUUAUUAUAAAAUAUUUAUAUUAUCAUUUAUAUAUUUUCAAAUGCAUUAACCAUUGAUGACAUAUAGAACAUUGUUGAGAGUAGAAAAAAAGCACCCAAUAAACACAUUUUGGAUUUUCAAAAUGGGACCUGAUGAAAAAGACUUUCGUGGUGCAUAUGGAUGUUUAUAUUCAUAACUCAUAACACAAUUACGGACAAAAAUAUUCAGAACCCGUGAGAAGCGUGAAGCGACACGUCUCCUUUUCUGGUGUCUUUGCUUUCUGUCGUUGUUGAAGUGGCUCAAAAGCGUUGCUUGCGUGUGUGUAAGACUUUCGGAAGAGAAUGUCUACAAGAAACAAUGAAUGACCUUCUGCACUGUGCUUGAUUGUGGGGUGUAUGGAACCUAAUUUCACUCAUUAAGGGUGUCAUGGUAAUUUCAUAUAGAUCAUUAAGGGUGUUAUGGUAAUUUCAAACAGAAAAUUGGGUGUUAGUUAGAAUUGAUUGGGUGCAGGAGAGUCAGCUUUGUGUAGCAAUAAAAAGUCACAAAGAAAUCUAUUCAACUCUAAAAGGUUGUGAUAUUUAACACCACAAAGAGUAAAAAACAUUCACAAAUUAAUAAAAUAAUAUUUUAAUCAUAUUUAAUUUAUUUUUAUUUUUAAAUAUUAUUAUAUUAUUAUAAUGAGAUGUUAAGUAUACGUUUUUACAUGGUGUCAAAAAAUUAUUUUCCUAUUCUAAAAGAACUUAGACAAAUGUCUUAUUAUAAUAAAACUAAUAAUGUGGAAAAUAUUUUAAAAAACACUAAUAAAAGAAAUAAGUUUAUUUUUCAAAUUGAAGUCAAAUUAAGAUUAAAACAAUCUUAAAAUUUAAUUAUAUUGACUAAAAAGUUAAUAAAAACAAAACAAUAUUUACAAGAUAUUUUUAAAUAUCUUUAAAAUAAUAACUGCAAAUUUGUUUCCCCUGUUUUGUGUCAGCGGUUUGUUAUAAGAUAAGGAUGAAAAUCUUAAUUGCAUAUUUUCACCUCACCGCGUAAUAUAAGCUGUCAAUCUUGACCCUCCCUUUCUAUAUAUACCCGAAGAUCUUAUUGAGUUUAUCAUAUUGAGUUUUGUUGGUAUUGGUUCCGUGAUUGAGUUUUGUUAGUACUGAUUGGGGGUGAUUGUUGUGCUUCUUAUUAUCAAGUCUCCGUGGUUUCGUCGAAUUAUAUCAUGUUUGCUAUCAUCGAUGUGGUUUUGAUGUGGUUUUGUCGGAUUGAAGAAUGCAAGAAUCUUUUAUAGGAUUGAAGAACGCCAAUUCUGAAUAUGAUUCUUUAUGUGAUGAUGACAAGUUUUGAAUCUUUUGAUCAAAUUCCUUUAUCCCUUUUCUGCUGGUGACGGGGUCUUUGAGUAUUUUCUUCUACUUUCCUUUCUAUUAUUUGAUUUAUCUGGUAUUGAUCACGAAAAUAAGGAUUGGACUAUGAUUUGUUUAUCUGCAGUGGUGUAACACGUUUCUUAGUUAGUUUUCUUGAUUUUUGGGCUGUACAGGGAAGACACGCAAUGGAUGUGAAAUGAAGUAUUAUGUUUUCUUGACUUCUUAUGGGUUUAUUCGUGACUGAUUAUUGGAUUUCGUAGCCUAACUUGGUGUUUAUGUUCACUCCCCUUCAGCAAUUCGAGUUUCUGAGAUUUGAAACCCUAAAAAGUUUGAAACGGUUGCAGCUCAGGACAUCCCAAUUCUCUCUAUCUAUUGUUUAAUUUCUCUCUACUUUAUCUCCAAGGAUUGAAUUGUGUUCGACGUUUGAAUUAUUUUCCCUUAAUGUUAUGAGGCCCCAAGGGUUGAAUUGGUGUUUGAAUUAUUUUUUUCGCUUAAUGUCCUGCAGAGUAUGUUAUGAGACAUAAGGGCUGAAUUGUGAUUUGUUUCCUGUUUGGAUGAUUUGCAUAGCAUCUUAUAGAAUAUGAAUGGUUUGGUUUUCGCACGGUUCUCGCGAGUAUGUUAUAGCCACCAUUCUUCCUUGGUUUUUAAGUCUUCAAUUUAUCUUAUCGUUCUAUACUUCAUCCUCGAUUACCAGUUAUACUUUGUUGAAUUAUUGUUCUUUACAGGGAUGAGUGGGGAUAAGACAGGGAUGUGUGGGUAGGACGUUCCUCGUGGUUGGUUGAAAAUGGUGGAUGAGCCAUGCUCGACGGUAUGAAAAACACAACGACAAUGGGCUCGACAUAACCGAAGUCUUUUUUGAGUUUUCCUUCUAUUUUUCUUCAACAUAAGGAUAUGAUUUGUUUAUCUGCAGUGGUGUUUUGAACCUUUUGCGUAAAUUUCUUUGCUCCUUUUCAGUUGGUGGCCGAUUCUCUGGCGUUUCUUUAGCUUUUGGAUGAUUUGAAAACUAGAACGACCAAGAGCUAGGCAUAACCUAAGUCUUUGUUGAGUUUCCCUUCUUUAACUUUUUUUUCUGCUAUUGAUCACAGUACAUAAGGAUUGAACUAUGAUUUGUUUAUCUGCAGUGGUGUUUGGAUUAGUUGGGUAACGACACAUACUCAUCUUAUCAUGUUCCUAUAACUAGUAAAUUCAUUUACUGAAUUUUGAGUAUAAUUGUCUAUUUGAGUAUGACGAGUUUUAUACCUUUUGCGUAAAUUUCUUUUCAGCUGGUGGCUGGUUUUUUGGUAUUUCUUUUGCCUAUGGAUGAUAUGGAAAGCACAACGACCAAGGGCUCGACAUAACCUUAAGUCUUUUUUUAGUUUCCCUUCUAUUUUUGUUAUGGUAUUGCAUAAGGAUUGAACUAUGAUUUGUUUAUCUGCAGUGGUGUUUGGAUUAGUUGGGUAACGUCACAUAUUAAUCUUAUCAAGUUUCUAUAAUUAGUAAAUUCAUUUAUGUCUAUAUGAGAAUGACGAGUUUUGAACCUUCUGCGUAAAUUUCUUUGCACCUUUUCAGCUGGAGUUCUCUGUCAUUUCUUUCUCCUAUGGAUGAUAUGAAAAGCAGAAGGACCAAGGGGCUCGACAUAACCUAAGUCUUUUUUGACUUUUUUUUUCUAUUUUUCUUUUUCCUGGUAUUGAUGACAGUACAUAAGGAUUGAACUAUAAUUUGGUUAUCUGCAGUGGUGUUAGGAUUAGUUGGAUAACGACGCAUAUUCAUCUUACAAGUUGCUAUAACUAGUAAAUUCAUUUAUGUGAAUUUUGAGUAUAAUUCUCUAUUUGAGUUUGACAAGUUUUAAACCUUUUGCGUAAAUUUAGUUUCAGCUGGUGGCUGGUUUUUUUGCCUUUCUGUUGCCUAUGGAUGAUAUGAAAAGCACAAUGACCAACGGGCUCGUCAUAACCUAAGUCUUUUUUGAGUUUUCCUUCUUUUUUUCUUUUUCCUGGUAUUGUUCACAGUACAUAAGGAUUAAACUAUGGUUUUGUUUAUCUGCAGUGGUAUUUGGAUUAGAUGGGUAACAACGCAUAUUCAUCGUAUCAAGUUUCUAUAACUAGUAAAUUCAUUUACGUCAAUUUUGACUAUAGUUCUCUAUUUGAGUUGACACUAUAGUUCUUUAUUUGAGUAUGACGAGGAAAAUUACUUAAAUUUCUUUUCAGCUGAUCAAGGGCUCAACAUAACCUUAAAUCUUUUUUGACUUUCCCUUUUAUUAUUUUUUUUAGGUAUUACAUAAGGAUUGAACUAUGAUUUGUUUAUCUGCAGUGGUGUUAUGAUUAGUUGGGUAACUUCACAGAUUCAUCUUAUCAAGUUUCUAUAAUUCAUUUAGGUGAAUUCUGAGUAUAAUUCACUAUUUGAGGAUGAUGAGUUUUGAACAUUUUGUGUAAAUUUCUUUGCAUAUUUUCAGUUAUUGGCUGGUUCUCUGGCAUUUCUUUUGCCUAUGAAUGAUAUGAGAAGCACAACGACCAAGGGGCUCAACAUAACCUAAGUCUUUUUUGAGUUUUCCUUAUAUUUUUCUUUUUACUAGUAAUAAUAACAGUACAUAAAGAUUGAACUAUGAUUUGUUUAUCUGCAGUGGUGUUUGGACUAGUUGGGUAACGACGCAGAUUCAUUUUAUCAAGUUUCUAUAACUAGUAAAUUCAUUUACGUGAAUUUUGAGUAAAAUUCUCUAUUUGAGUAUGACGAGGUUUAAACCUUAUGCGUAAAUUUCUUUUCAGCUGGUGGCUGGUUUUUUGGCAUUUCUUUUGCCUAUGGAUGAUAUGCAAAGCACAACGACCAAGGGCUCGAUAUAACCUUAAGUCUUUUUUGAGUUUCCCUUAUAUUAUUCGUUAAUGGUUUUACAUAAGGAUUGAACUAUGAUUUGUUUAUCUGCAGUGGUGUUUUGGAUUAGUUGGGUAACGUCGCAUAUUCCUCUUAUCAAGUUUCUAUAGUUAGUAAAUUCAUUUAUGUCUAUAUGAGGAUGACAAGUUUUGAACCUUCUGCGUAAAUUUCUUUGCACCUUUUCAGCUGGCGUUCUCUAGCAUUUCUUUCUCCUAUGGAUGAUAUGAAAAGCAGAAGGACCAAGGGGCUCAACAUAACCUAAGUCUUUUUUGAGUUUUUUUUUCUAUUUUUCUUUUUCCUGGUAUUGAUGACAGAACAUAAGGAUUGAACUAUGAUUUGUUUAUCUGCAGUGGUGUUUGGAUUAGUUGGAUAACGACGCAUAUUCAUCUUACAAGUUUCUAUAACUAGUAAAUUCAUUUACGUGAAUUUUGAGUAUAAUUCUCCAUUUGAGUGUGACGAGUUUUAAACCCUUUUUGUAAAUUUACUUUCAGCUGGUGCCUGGUUUUUUGGCCUUUCUGUUGCCUAUGGAUGAUAUGAAAAGCACAACAACCAAGGGCUCGACAAAACCUUAAGUCUUUUUUGAGUUUCCUUCUAUUUUUUUAUGGUACUACAUAAGAAUUGAACUAUAAUUUGUUUAUCUGCAGUGGUGUUUGGAUUUGUAUAACGUCACAUAUUCAUCUUAUCAAGUUUCUAUAAUUAGUAAAUUCAUUUAGGUCUAUAUGAGGAUGACGAGUUUUGAACCUUUUGCGUUAAUUUCUUUGCACCUUUUCAGCUGGAGUUGAGUUGUGAACUUGUUUGGAAGUUUUGCAUGUAAUCUCCUUUGAGCCUAGACUGCAAUGUCUCUUAUGCUGAAAUCUUUGAAAUCAGAAUAAUGAACCGGAGUGACAACAAUGCUCUAACGCUGAAAUUUUUGAAAUCAGUAUAAUAAUGAUCCUGAAAUUGUUUAAAUGCUUCACUUUUGUUUCAACAAUCUCCAUUUAUGUUUCUCAUUCUUCGAGUUUUGAAAUCAGCAUUUAUUUGUUUGCAGCACAUUUUGUCUUUAUUUGAGGUUUCUCUUUCAGAUUGUUAACUCAACCAGUGAUGGAAUAUAGUGGGACGGCUAACAUGUCUUAUCAACAAGUUUGAGUGUUUAUCCAAAACCAUUCCAUUCAUUUCUUUUUCAUAUUUGUACAAUUUGGAAAAGGAUUGUAUCCGAGAAAGAUAAUGGAGUUUUGGAGGUGAAUUUGUUAAUUUUAAUCAGAUUGACGAACGUCUCUUGGACAGGAUUUCGUCUCUAUUUGAUAUUUUCAGAUUUGAUCACCAAACAUAUGGAUUUUCUGUUGUCAUUUGUUUUUGUGCAGUGAUAUUUGCAUAAUGUUUCAUGCUACGUCUAAUCAAUCAUGUUGUUUGGAAGUUUGUAUGACUCUUGAUAACAGGCUUUACAAGAGUUUGGGAGGAUUAGUAAUUUCAGAGGUGAUACCUAUUAUCAUAUUUGUGUCUUGUAGUGUGAACUGUUCAAGUUUAUUCAUUUGCAAGAGGGAUCAAUUCUCCACUUUUGAUGCAGAAGAUUAGAUGGCUAACAUUAUUGUCCGUUCAUUUGAUCCAGCAAGAGCCCAUUCUAGAAAUGUGGUCUUCUCUUUAAAGGCCUUUAGUAUUUUACUAUCAUAAAUAGAUAUUAUUUCUGGUUCUAUUGUUUUGACUGAGAGGAAGUCACAAGUCUUGUUGAUAUAUGAUGAUCUCUUAUCAUUUCCCCUUAAUUCUUGGUUGUUGUUUUGACAGGGUAGGGUUUGGGGAGUCUGGGUUUUUGGAUUAGGAAUUGUCCAACCACCAACAAUGUGUGUACAAGUUUGAAAUAUAUGAAUGAAGGCUGUCAAGGAAAAUGAUUACAGCAAUGAAGGCUAAAAAAAAAAUUGCGGAAGCAGAGUCUCCUAGAUCAGGAUAUAUAUAUGCUAGAGUGGAAAGAAAUAGAUGAAAUAUAUUUCUGAGAUAUCUUACAAAUGUGAUUACAGUCUCUAUUUAUAGACUGUUUUACAACCUAAUUAAAGAAAGAAAUAAUAGGUGAUGAAAGCCAGAAAUAAAUAAUGAGUGUUUAAAGCUGUACAAAUCAAAUAAAAUAAAAUCACUAACAAAUCUGUACUAAUAAAUAUAAAAUGGAAUCUGCACUUAAUUAUAACAUAAUUCUCCUGAUUAUGCAACAGUUAGUUUGAAUUUUAUUGAAUUACAUAAAUGCUUUAUUAAUAUGAUCAUUUGAUUAUAGCAGAAUUGUAGUGGUUUUUAUAAAAUUAUUCUUAGUAGUUAUAUAAUUAUUCAUGGUUGUUAUAUUACCUUUAAUAGUUAUUGUUGUUGGAAAAAUAAUCUAGAAGUCCUUUGUUGGCUAAUGAUUCUCUAACAUUUUUUUAAAAAUUUUAUAGUAGUUGUAUUUUGAUUUGACAAUUUAGUUUAGUUUCUUUUAUUGACUCUUAUAGCUAAUUAAUAUUGACUUUCAUUAGAAUGUUGAUGAUGAUGUGAAUGAUGUGUUUUAAUGUUGAUUGUGUUGUGAUUCUAUUUUAUAAAAUAUUGUUUUAUGGUAAUCAUUAAUCAAUUGCUUUGUAUACACUCAUUUAUCAUAUUGCUGUAUGACAAAUCUUAAAGCCCUCUAAGAGAAAGGUUCCUGGGUUGCUUUGUGGAAAGUUUUAAACUCGCUCGCAAUGGUAAAGGAUGGAUCAAUGUGCUUUUAUGCAAGAAUUAUUAGUAAAUUCAUUUACGUGAAUUCUUAGUAUAAUUCUCUAGUUGAUUAUGACGAGUUUUUAACCUUUUCAGCUUAUGGCUGGUUCCCUAACAUUUCUUUUGCCUAUGGAUGAUAUGAAAAGCCCAACAAUCAAGGGCUCAACAUAAAGAAAGUCUUUUUUGAGUUUCCCUUCUAUUAUUCUUUUUGCUGGUAUUGAUAACAUAAGGAUUGAACUAUGAUGUGUUUAUCUGCAAUGGUGUUUGGAUUAGUUGGGUAACAUCGCAUAGUCAUCUUAUCAAAUUUCUAUACUUUGUCUUAAUAAGAGUGUUUAUUGUUUCCUUCAAUUUUUGGACUAUCGUUUCCUUCAAUUAAAUUUGGUGUUUGUGUUCAUUCCUUUUCAGCAAGUCCUGAGUCUUUGAGAUUUCUUUUGGUGGUUGAGGAACUACAGAAUGGUUGUAGAUCAGGAUAUCCUAAUUUCUCUAUACUUGAUCACCGAACAUUGAAUAGUGAUUUGUUCUUAUGCAGUAAACAUAAGGAUUUAAUUUUGAUUAUUUUCGUAUAAUGUCCUUUAUCUCAUGGAGUAUGUUAUGUGGCAUAAUAGUUUAAUUGUAAUUUGCUUCUUUGCAGCGUGAAAUUGGCUUACCGUAUUGCAUCUUAUGGGGUAUGUUAUGAGUGACCGUGUCUCCCUUAAUUUUUUAAUUUAUCUAAUAGUCCUUUAUUACCUGUUAUAGUUUUGUUGAAUUAUUGUUCUUUAUAGGGAUGUGUGGUAAUUAGCAAGAGCUCAGGACUAUUUGGUUUCAAUUUUUUUAUAACAAAACUUUAUUUUGCCUUUAUUAGUUUCCUUCAUUGACAAAUGAAUUUUGAACUUGGUUCUUGCAAAGCAUCAAUGUCCUUGCCUAAUUUGUGUUUCAAGAUUAUUGAUCUUUCGUAUUGAAGUUCUGAAAAUUUAGGUGGAGCAGUAUUGAAAAGAUGGAUCUUGAAGUUAUUCCUUUCAUUUUAGUAGUGUAAUUAGCAAGAGCUCAGGAUUAUUUGCCUCCAUUCUUUGAUUACAGAACUUUUUAUUUUGUUUGUUCCUGCAUCGACAAAUGAAUUUUGAACUUGUUCUUGCAUAAUUUAUCAUUGGGAGGAAAUGAAUUGGUGGUUUAGGUUUGGGAAACAGUGGAUCGGGACCCUGUGGAAAUUUAGGUUUUGUUCUAUGUUUAUUAUUUCUUUGCUGUUAUUAUUCACGGAUAAACUUGUGGACUGGGAAUGUUUACCUCUAUAUGACAGGCACUGUAAACGUCUGUGUCAGCUAUUUAAUUUUCUCUUUCUUGUCCACACUCAGACAUUUCUUUCAGCAACUGAGUCAUUUAAAAGAGAGUUUCGUUUCUUUUCAUGUUCUUUAUUGUCAAAAUAACCUUUCUUUCUUUCUUAUCAGCUAUAGUAUUUAGUUUCACUGUGAUCUCGGGAUGUGUUAUUUGGAAGUGAUGUGGUUAUUCAUCCAAGGAUUAAUGUGUUAUUUGGAAGUGAUGUGGUUAUUCAUUCAAGGAUUGAGUUCCAUUCUCUUCGACUUGCUUUUGUUUGUUGUGUUCAUUGCUAUCAAACAACUUUCUUCCUUUUAAAUGUAUGGAGUCUAUUUUUUUAAGAUGAAAUCCCCACUAAAUGUAAUGUUUUUUUUUUCUUUCUUUUUCAUCAUUGCCUAGUUAUUUCUGUUUCUCAUAGGCUUGGUCUCAUCCCUUCAACUUGCAUUUGUUUGUGUUCAUUGCUAUCAAACAGCUUUCUUCUUUUUAAAUGUAUGGAGCCUUUUUUGCUACGUCUAGAUGUUGAUUUUCUUGUGUUCAUUCAUUUUUAGGUGUUGAUUUGUUCGUGUUAAUUCCUUUUUAGCAUCUCGAGACUGCCGGAAUGGUUGAGGAUUAAAAUCUGAAAUUGUUUAGAACCACCAAUAAUUCAGGAUAACCUUCAACUUUGUUUUAGGUGUCAUUUGUUUUAUGUCUCUCUUUGUUUUAAAUGUCUUAUUGUCUCUAUACUUCAACUUUAUGAGCCGUUUGUAGCCUUCCUGAAUUCUUGGGGUGUACAGGACAAACAUGCAACAGAUGUGAGGUAGGAAAGAUGUGAGUAUCCUUGAAGCUUGAAUACUGGCAGGAGAUCCUUGAAGCUUUAGGUUUUGGUAUCCACACAUAUUUUUGUCUUUAAUUGGGACUGGCUAUUUGAAUUUCUCUGGUUUUUGAAUUCCUUCAAUUCAUUAAUUCAUUUUGUCCUUUCUUAAAUUCUGGGUCUUUAUUACCAAUAUCUAUUUGAAUUUAAAUAUAGUUCUUAAAUUUUUUAUGUAUAGGUGUUGAUUCGUUUGUGUUCAUUCCUUUUUAGCAUGUAAGACUGGUUGAGGAUUAAAAUCUGCAACUGUACACGAAAAAACAAGCAACGGAUGUGAGCUAGGAUAUCUGAAUACUGGAAGGACAUGCUUGAUUCUAUAGGUUAUCCAUACUCUUUGAUGACAGAUGUCUACUUGAGUUUGGAUGUAGUUAUUUAUUUGAUGACUGAGAUCUAUCAUAUGUAACUGUUUAUCUGCUUGUGUUAGUUCCUUUUCAGCAGGGGAUUCUGGUUUAGGAUAAAAAAACAUAAAUUUGAAUAUUGUUCUUGUCCGAUUAUCAAAAUAUGUAAAACCUAGCUAUUUGAUGUUGAUUCUUUUUUAGCACAUUAAAGGUUAAUAAUAAUACAAUACUCAGGGAAGAUGUCUCCUCUUUAUUUGAAACUUUGUAGAUUGAGCAUAUUUUUCGAGACUGAUAUAUGAGGUAGGAUGUGGAAACACUGGGAUUUGUGAAGCUUUAGGUUUUGUUAUCCUUACAUUUCUUAUGUUUUUAUUUGUGACUAACUAAACUUCUUGUUUGGAUGCUAAGUUUUGGUUGGAUUCAUUGCAGACCUUGUAGUGUGUCUGACAGUUCUUAUUGGUGUAUAUGUAGCAAUCACUAGCAGACUAUUAGAGGUCCUGUAAUUUGGGGAGGAUUUGUCUGACAGAAUUUCUAACAACUUAAUAUGAAGUACUGAAUUAAUAGUGAAAAAAAAGAUAAAGAAAAAAUAUCAUGGCCAUUAAAAGUUUAUGUUUCUUGUCCUGUUCAGCCAUGGCACUUGUCAGUGAGCUCUUGCUUCUUUCUCUAUUGCCCCAUAUGCAUACUUUUUCGCAUUUCUUACUCUUUUUUUAAGUUGUUCAUUUUUAAGUAAUUUAGGCUUCUCAUACUGGUUUCAUAGUGAAAUUUGAGCCUUUUACAUGGUGCCAUUGAAAUUAAGGAGGGAAUUAAUGAUCUUUAGUUUUAUAGUACUGAAUUAAUUUGGAUUUGCUUAGGUGUAGCAAAUUUGAAAGGUCAUUUUCUUAGUUAUUACUUCAUUUACUAAAUUAUCAAGAGCAUUGAACAAUUUGAUUUUGUAGUGUUUUGUUUGCUGCCUUGACAAAUGAAUCUUGCAUUCUAUUGUUUUUAGUAAUUUUGGGUUACAUUCUGAAUAUGACAUAUGAUGAUCUCUUAUAUCUUCCAAAAUGAGAAUGAUCUCCAACAUUAGAGCUGUAUUUAGUUCUAUCUCCAAUGUGAGAAUGAGAAAAUUGAGAGCUGUAUUUAGUUUUAUCUCCAAUUAUCUCUAAUAUUAGAAUGAGAAACAACAGUAGUUGAAAUGUUUUCUUGUAAUCUAUCUUCGUGUGCUAUGAUUCAGUUCUCUCUCCAUAUAUGAGAAUAAAAAAUGAGAAAGAGAAACAACAUUAUUUGGAAUGUUUUGUCGUAAUCUUCUUGCACUAUGAUUUUGUUCUCUCCCAAUAUGCGAAUGAGAAAAUGAAAAACAACAGUAUUUAGAAAGUUUUGUCGUAAUCUUGCGCUAUGAUUUGGUUCUCUCCUCAAUAUGCAAUGAGAAGAUGAGAAACAACAUUCCUUAACUUGUAAUUGAUUUUAUAUUAAUUGUUUAACUAUUCACUUCAUGUUUUUCUAAUUUGAAGAUAUCUCUUUACUAAAAACAAUGUAAUUAAUUUUAUAUUAAUUGUUUAGCUAUUCA
rnacentral:lncRNA from 1 species